GACAGAAGUAACAUUGGUCUCAGUCAGGUCCUGAAGGCACCAGUAGGUGCCUUCCUACUUAUAGGAAUCCAUAAGCGGGAUUCCUAUAGUACCUCUCUCCACUCCCUCAGUCUUCACCUAUGACUUCAUGGGGAGUUCUUUAUGAUCAGUUGACUGAGGAAGAAAAAGCUCCGACAAAGUUUACGAAUGGAUCUGCACAGGGUGCUGCACCAACUAGAUGAAGAGUGCUACACAUUAUACGGAACAUAAUGGGGAGGGAAAUUCUCCCUCUGAGCAAUACUUUAAAAAAGACCACUGGUUGUUCAUUUUGCCUGGAAAGAAAGAUGUUUACAGUGAACUAGGAAGCAGCAGCAGCAGCUAAAGGUGAAUGAAGAAGGAGGCGUGGGAGAGUUAAAGAGAGAGGAGAAAGCAUGAAACAGUCAUCUAAGAGUUCUUUUCUUCCUGUAUGAGGACUGAAAGGUGAAGAACUAUGUUCUCCAACCCCCAUGAUGGUGUGGUCCCAUAGGUGACCUGACCUGCUGAGCAGAUACCUGUGCUCUCGCUGCUGCUGCUACCGGAUCUCAGGCAGAUGAAGCAAACUUUUGUCCUUUUCCAUCUGGAGCUCUUAAAGUGGUGAGAUCAUCAAAAGGAUUGACUGAAGCAGCAAGCAGAAAAGCACCUUCAUUCACCAGAUGCAACUGUGGCUGCCACCAUCUAAACCCACCGCCUCCUCAUAGCAAGCUGAGUCAUAGCCCAGCCUUCUCAUCUCCAACCCCCCGGGCCAACUCAUGCAGGUGGUGUUUUCUACCAUGACUGAGGAAUGUCCCCAAAGCAGGGCAGGCCUCAUCUCAACUCGUAGAAGGCAUACUGAGUCCUCUCCUCCCCUCUCCCCCAGAAGCCAGUUCAUCAGGUUCAUCAGGGUGUGCCAUCUACAGUUCUUCCAGAACCUAUUCGCCUCUCAUCUUUUCUGCCAUCAUCCUAAUCCAGACCACCAUCAUCUCUAAGGUCCUUUGCACCAGCCAUUCCUUCUACCUGGAACAUGACUGCCCUGACCACCACAUACGAGCUCACUACCUCAAAGAAGAUUCCUUCAUCACUGCCCCAUCAAAGAAGACGGUCUUUAUUUUCUUCAUACCAUUAAUCGAUAUCAGGAAUUCCAUUGCU